rnacentral:rRNA from 1 species
GAUGAACGCUGGCGGCGUGCUUAACACAUGCAAGUCGAACGAUGAAGCCCAGCUUGCUGGGUGGAUUAGUGGCGAACGGGUGAGUAACACGUGAGUAACCUGCCCUUAACUCUGGGAUAAGCCUGGGAAACUGGGUCUAAUACCGGAUAGGAGCGUCCACCGCAUGGUGGGUGUUGGAUAGAUUUAUCGGUUUUGGAUGGACUCGCGGCCUAUCAGCUUGUUGGUGAGGUAAUGGCUCACCAAGGCGACGACGGGUAGCCGGCCUGUGAGGGUGACCGGCCACACUGGGGCUGAGACACGGCCCAGACUGCUACGGGAGGCAGGAGUGGGGAAUAAUGCACAAUCGGCGCAAGCCUGAGGCAGCGACGCCGCGUGAGGGAUGACGGCCUUCGGGUUGUAAACAUCUUUCAGUAGGGAAGAAGCGAAAGUGACGGUACCUGCAGAAGAAGCACCGGCUAACUACGU